UACGUAGGGUGCGAGCGUUGUCCGGAUUCAUUGGGCGUAAAGGGUGCGUAGGCGGCGCGGUAAGUCGGGUGUGAAAUCUUGGAGCUUAACUCCGAAACUGCAUUCGAUACUGCCGUGCUUGAGGUCUGGAGAGGAGACUGGAAUUUACGGUGUAGCGGUGAAAUGCGUAGAUAUCGUAAGGAAGACCAGUGGCGAAGGCGGGUCUCUGGACAGUUCCUGACGCUGAGGCACGAAGGCCAGGGGAGCAAACGGG
rnacentral:rRNA from 1 species